GGGGGUGUAUUUGGUUUCGACAAUAUUCUAGAAGUAUAAGUAGCGAAUAGUGGAUUCUCGUUGGCCACUAAAAAAACGAGAAAUAAAAUAUAAACGCUGAUAAUAGAGAAUUAGCAUACGCUGCCUAAGUUGCAGUGUCGUUUUACUAAGAACCCCACAUUCUUAGAUAAAGCGUCGUGUUUGUGGGAAACGAAGUUAUUUACUCGCCUUGGAAAUAAUGGGUAAUAAAAGGCUACUUUCUUUUUAAGUUUGUUUAUUGACGUAAUCAGAAAGGAUUAAAAAAAAUAAACUGUAUUCGGAGAAGCUUAUAUGGAAAGAUUAUUGGACAGGAGUUCGACUCUCCUCACCUCCACCA
rnacentral:tmRNA from 1 species